rnacentral:rRNA from 1 species
UGGGGAAUAUUGGACAAUGGGGGAAACCCUGAUCCAGCCAUGCCGCGUGAGUGAUGAAGGCCUUAGGGUUGUAAAGCUCUUUUGUCAGGGAAGAUAAUGACGGUACCUGAAGAAUAAGCACCGGCUAACUUCGUGCCAGCAGCCGCGGUAAUACGAAGGGUGCUAGCGUUGUUCGGAAUUACUGGGCGUAAAGCGCGCGUAGGCUGCAUGGUAAGUCAGUGGUGAAAUCCCGGAGCUCAACUUCGGAACUGCCAUUGAAACUGCUGUGCUGGAAUCUCAGAGGGGAUAGCGGAAUUCCAAAUGUAGGGGUGAAAUCCGUAGAUAUUUGGAGGAACACCGGUGGCGAAGGCGGCUAUCUGGAUGAGUAUUGACGCUGAGGCGCGAAAGCGUGGGGAUCAAA